rnacentral:rRNA from 1 species
CCUACGGGAGGCAGCAGUGAGGAAUAUUGGUCAAUGGCCGCAGGGCUGAACCAGCCAAGUCGCGUGAGGGAUGACGGUCCUAUGGAUUGUAAACCUCUUUUGUCAGGGAGCAAAGGGCGCCACGUGUGGCGCUUUGCGAGUACCUGAAGAAAAAGCAUCGGCUAACUCCGUGCCAGCAGCCGCGGUAAUACGGAGGAUGCGAGCGUUAUCCGGAUUUAUUGGGUGUAAAGGGUGCGCAGGCGGAAUGUCAAGUCAGCGGUAAAAUUUCGGGGCUCAACCCCGUCGUGCCGUUGAAAAUGGCGUUCUUGAGUGAGCGAGAAGUAUGCGGAAUGCGUGGUGUAGCGGUGAAAUGCAUAGAUAUCACGCAGAACUCCGAUUGCGAAGGCAGCAUACCGGCGCUCAACUGACGCUCAUGCACGAAAGCGUGGGUAUCGAACAGGAUUAGAUACCCGAGUAGUC